GAUGAACGCUGGCGGCGUGCUUAACACAUGCAAGUCGAACGGAGUUUCUUGGAUAGAGGUUUCGGCCAAUUGAAAAGAAACUUAGUGGCGGACGGGUGAGUAACGCGUGAGGAACCUGCCUUGGAGUGGGGAAUAACACAGUGAAAAUUGUGCUAAUACCGCAUAAUGCAGUUGGGUCGCAUGGCCCUGACUGCCAAAGAUUUAUCGCUCUAAGAUGGCCUCGCGUCUGAUUAGCUAGUUGGUAGGGUAACGGCCUACCAAGGCGACGAUCAGUAGCCGGACUGAGAGGUUGGCCGGCCACAUUGGGACUGAGACACGGCCCAG
rnacentral:rRNA from 1 species